rnacentral:rRNA from 1 species
UACGUAGGGGCGUAGCGUUGUUCCGGAACGUACAUUGGGUCGGUGAAGACGCGUGUAGGCGGCCCGGUAACGUCCGCUGUGAAAGUACGGGGCGUCAACCCUCGGAUGCCGGUGGAUACUGUCGGGCGUAGAGUCCGGAAGAGGCGAGUGGAAUUCCUGGUGUAGCGGUGAAAUGCGCAGAUAUCAGGAGGAACACCAACGGCGAAGGCGGCUAACUGGUCCAGAUCUGACGCUGAGGUGCG